rnacentral:tmRNA from 1 species
GAGUUACGCUCUCGCCGCCUAAGUAGCGACGAGCGCCGACACGGCCCCCUCUCGCCGGGCCGUGAAGGCGUCAUCAGGCGAGAUGCGGCGUUGCCGACUCCGGUGAGUGACGUCAAAGGGCCGAAAGGUCAGCCGGAUAGCGAGCGGAGCACCCCGCCGGUUGGGGGCCCGCAAGCGAAGAUCGAAAUAGGCCGGAAACACCUGUAGCACGUUCCCGGCGACUCGGUUCUGGACGGGGAGUUCGAUUCUCCCCCAUCUCCACCA